rnacentral:lncRNA from 1 species
AUCUCAGAGAAUUGGUGCGGCUGAGCGUCUCGCCUCCCCAAAAUACGUUCCAACAAGGUUCCUGCAAAUCCACUGAAUCGCGGUGCUCGCUUUCAGAGAUCAAGCGUCUGAGGGUGUUCUGCUGGUGUUUGCAAAAGCAAAGCGCUCCCCGCGCGCUCCUGUGUAGUAUUUCCGAGAGAGAGACGAACUUUGGUUUGUCAGCUUGCGCGCGCACUGGCUUUUAAACCCGACGCGCUGUGACGCAAGGGAACCGCUGCCUGCUCUUGCCCAGCCCUCUCUCACUCUCAAUAAUUAUCACUCACCAUUUAACAUUUCAGAAAGCACUGUUUUCAUAAGAAGCGUUUGUUGGAAUCUCUUAAACGCGUACGUGCAAGUGCGCACCCGGAGCAUGUUCAUCUUUAGGGUUGUGCGAAACACCACACACACUCCACGCAAGACUUCAAGCGUCUUCAAACAACCAAAAGAGUUUAAUAUUCAAGACACUGCUUUUAAUUGGUUUAUUCAGUGACUCAUUUUGCUCGAGGAAUUGUUACUCAGUCAGUGACGCAGCAUUAAAGCUUUCCGCUCGCACUGAUUCCUUCUCUUCGACAGGUUUGGAGAAGUUGCUGCAUCUAUUGAUCGAGUCCAGCGCUGGAGUGGGAGUGAUCUGCUGGGUGUCUCCAUCAAACUGACCGAUAGGAGGAGACAGAGUUCUGUGCUCAGCUCUUCAGGACAUUAGUGCUGGCCACGCUAAAUGAAAGGGCCUAUUCUCUUUGCAGAGUCAGUUUGAUUCCUGGGCAUGCCAGCGUAAUGAAGGAGUGAUGAGAUCCAAUGGCUUGGGCCACCAGCCCGGCCCAACUCUCUCUAAUUCCUGCCCCCAGCUCUUUCCACCUCAUACACACAGGCGUGUUCAGGAGAAACCACACGCACUCGUUUCUAAUGGGAGUCUUCCUGGCGAGCGCCAGCUCAUGAACAUGGAAACGUGGUUGCCCUCGUCGAUCCAAAACCUACAAUGCAUCUCUCUCAGAGCAGACUGA